GCCAUGGGGCCAGGCAGGAUUCCAGCACAGCAGUGGUGCAGGCACCCAGCUGGCACCCCAUCCACCUGAGGUGUCGGGUAUUCUCCUGAGCUACCUGCUUCACACUCAGGAGAGAGGUAUAAUGUCAAGUGAAUUAAAGAAGAUGAAUGACUUGAUGGAUUCAAGGGAGCAAUCACAGUCUUCAGGACAUAAAGAGAUGGCGGCAGUUUGUGGAAUGAGGAUGGAUGGCAGAAAGGGGGGAAGAACACCAGCUCCCCAGUAUGAAUACUCGGGAAAUAAAAGAAAAGAACUGACACAACAUAGACGAGGAUGCAAAGUGCAGCUGUGUGCCCCAUCCCCUCCUGUACCAUCUGCACAGCCCUGGACCCAGCACCAGCCCCCGUGGUGCUCUGAAAUGCAGAAAUCGAAUCCCCUGGUGAAACAUUUCCACACUCACUAAUGAGAUCGCCUGCUAGGAGAGAUGGCGUCACUCGGAGCUCAGGCGUGAGCUGCAGCACUUAAUUGCUUAGUAACAGCCCAGUGCACUUUUGCAAGUUCCAGCACCAGGCAGUGUUUAUGGGGUUUAAAAUCCAUACAUCAUGCAUACAGGAAAAAAAACAGCGGCGUCUGUACCAGCUGUAAUCACCGAGAUGAACACAAAAACAAAAUCUCCUCCCCAGCUGCAAUUCGUGGGCACUCUGAAGAAAAACAAGCACUAACUCCCAUUGUAAGUUGCCCAGCAGAAACAGAAGAAAAUAACAUAUCAGCCUGUAAAUGCUUUUUACAGAUUUUGUUGCGUAGUUUCUGUUUACAGCAAAUUCCAGCAGACGUAAAGUCUCCCCUACACAACUGGUGCUCAGAGCUGAGGUGGGGGAUUGCACAUGGUGUGCUGGUAGAGCUGUGCCAGACAUGUACUUCUACCUACAGUAUGAGUAGAUUCACUUAAAACACGCAGCUCCGUGACCCCACUUACAACAAGAGUGAAUUCUUGGAAGACUGCACAUGCACUAAAUGGGCAAUGCACAUGGCAACAGCACUCGCAAUAGGUCCAGCAGGCUGAGACCAGCCUGCUUGUAUCACUAAUUCUUUAAAAUAGCCGGGUCAGAGGAACUUAAUUCAACCACAAUUGUGUUGUGUGUGAACAACCUCACACAUAAAUGUAAAUUAACUCCAUUUUGCAAGACAUGGCCUUUGGUUUUUGUUCAGUGACAUCUGUUACAUGAUGACGUUUGAAACCAAUAACACAGGCUGUGGGGUGAGGUUAUGCCAUCCCUGUCCCCUUUAGGGUUACCCCAAUGGUUGUGUAAUAUCUUCUGUUCAUCUCUGAUCCCUACUACCAGCUUUUGACCUCAGUUUUUCCAAUCUGCCAUUAAGCUUCCUCGUUCUGAAAGCAGAUUAAGGAUUUCAAUCACUAAAAUAAAACAAACAUCAAACAGCCAUCAACUGGCCCAACACACAACACAGCCACAAUAUUUGUUCAGGUGUAAGAAAGUACCCAUGCCCUCUUCCCUAUUUCUUUUCAAAUUCAACCAAGCACUACAUAUAAAUACAACUAAUGUUCCCUCUCUUCUACCCCCAUCAGAUCCUCAGAACUCUGCCCAACAUUGCCUUUAUUCCACCUCCUCUAAGAGAUGCACAAAGUGAUGCUGUGAGUGCUAUUAACAAUUUGCAUUGAGGAGCACAUGGAAAUCACCAGUGUUAUUCUGUGGUCCUCGUAAUCGAAGGCACAUUUCACACAGAAGGUGGUCCCUCCUUCACUGCUGCAGUUCUGUUGCUGCUAAUGCCAACAAAAAGAGGAAAAAACCCGCAGACAGACCUAUGCUCUUUUUACUGUUUCUUCCAGUUAAUUCUGACAGGCUUUUUUUUUCCAUCUUCUCCUAAUUCAGCAUUAAAUAGUGAUAAAAACACAUAUGAUGCAUCACGUACGAUGCCAAUGAUUCACAACCUUGGCUUACAAGCUUUUACAAAGAAAAAGUGCUAUAAAUCCUUCAAAACAAGGGAAGAAAGCAAUUCAUAUUCUCACGACCUCUUCUGACUCCACUUUCAACAAUCAUCCCUGGCAGUUCCUCCAGCUCCCUCCAAAUUGCACAGUUGGAAAGUAACAUCCAGCGAGUGCCCGUCUGCUGUGAGCUGCUCUAAUUACUGCAAAUUCCUUUUUGAGCCACAUCCAACAAAACACUUUCAACGUUUGCUAAACUUCAGCAUGCACAGCCUCCUACUGCGAGGAACCUGCUUCAGCUGGGGGGUGGACUCUGCUCUCCACAGGUCCUUCCUAAGCCCUAUGGUUCUGAGACUGGGUGAAUAGUCCCAUUGAAGGACACACAGCUCUCCACAUGUUAAGCUGGAGGCACCUCAGAUACAUCGAGGAGAACUUGAUCAAAACCAGGGCUCCUUCAGGUUAGCCUGUCUUAAACCAGCACUAAAUUCAUAUGCUCUUUAAGUUCUUUCAUGCAUUCCCUUCCUAUCCAUGUGUACAAUACAGUGCUUUCAGCCUCUCCUCCUCUAUAGCUGUUAUUUCACCCCAAUAAUCUUUUAUUCACCUAAAUAAUCAUGUUUCUUUUCUCAUACCCAUCUUUUCUUUGCUGUGAGCUCACAAAAAGCAGUCAUCUUUGACAGCACAAAGCCCUGAGAAGGUCUGAACCCCAUGAUUUAAAUUAACUUCAUCUUCCAAAUCUCUCUUCAUGACAACCCCAGCUGCUGCACAGCUUGGUGUUUGCAUGCUUUAAUGUUUUCAUGCUCUCUCAAGACACUUUGGCAAGAAUUAGCAGACCAGAAACAAGCACCUUGAGGAACAGGGGAGGCCACAGGACACCAGGGGACACAGAGAUGAAAUACACCACCUGAGGAAGUGUAGAUACACCAGAGGAAGCAUAAGAUGAAAUGUCAACACUGACAUCUGCUGAUGGUUUAGGAGGCUUGUGGAAAAAGGAAAACAAGGCAGCCAUGCAGCUAAGGGCAGCACACAGCCCAGGAGCCAGCACAGCCGUGCAGGAAGACAAAAGCCAUGCACACAUGGAUUGUCACAGCAAUGCUCUUGCCAGGUUAGGACAGGAGAUGAUGCUGCUGCAACUGAACACGGAUGUGUAACCUAAUGAAUGUUACAUGAAGGGCAACCAAGCACUACAUGGAACAGUUCUCUUCUGGUUUAAACAAGCUGCUCUCAGGCCUUUCCUCAGCUUUUCUGCACCUGAAGCAAAUACGCAUCUUAUCUCAAAUACAUUUCCUCCAGCCAAUUUGGAUGGUUUUAAAACAUUAACUUGCUUGUAUCAGAAAAGGACAGAGGAGAUACUGCUGGAAGCAACGAAUGAGUGGGAAGUGCAACCAGACGAGCUGCAAAUCGAUGCUAUUUGUGGGAGCAGUGCCAGCAGAUGAACGUGGUACACCAUGUACUCUCAAAAGUUGUUCUAACAACCACUUUCUGCAAUCCUUUGUGUGCCAAAUUAACCCUGCGACUGAGGACAUCCAGCACUUACACUAUGCAGAAAGAGGAAUCCAAACCUCUCUUCCAUUUAUACGUAUGUUCACAUAUAGGACUUAGACACACACAGAGAUAUACAAAGAAGACAUAUACACUUUAGCAUAUGUGUAUCCAUGUAUGUAAAAACAAAGACUAAGCUUCCUACCUUUUGUAAUUAAGGCAGUGGAAGUCACGUUACUGCUUCUCCAGAGAGAACCGAGCCUGCAUAUAGCAGCAGUGCAGUGACAGUGCAGUUACACUGCUGAAUGUAAUUAAGGGAGAGAAAAAAGAAGGGGUAUAGCUGGGGAAGGGAACUGGUAGCAAACCUCUCUGUGUAUCUGAGCUUCACUUCCAUCUACAUCUGGCUGUAGAAAAGAUGGGAGCUCAUACACACGUGUUCCACUCCCCUAAACCAACAAAAAGUCCACAAAUACACUAAAUGCUGCCCGGAGCACUUCUCUUCCCAUCCAUCCUCCCUGCAAAAAAUCAGCAGCUAUUAAAUGUUUGCUGUCUGUGUUUCUUGCAGCCAGUUAAUAGACUGCUGAACUGCAUCACAACCAUUUCCAGCUAUGGUCUCCCACUUGCAUCAGCUGUCAGAACUUGAAUCAAAUCAAGAUAAAAUACGAGUUGCAGAGAAAGAAUAAAUUGUGGCAGGUGUGAGAACUGAUGGUGGGUCAACAUCAUGAGGAAGCCCCUGGAAAAGCAAGGUCCAGCCGGCUCAGAGCAAUGACUUCCCUUCAGCCAAGAACAUCCCUAAAGCAGGUCUGGAAAUCAGGACGCUGAGCUUCUAAUUUCAGUCUGACACUACUUCAGCUGUGUGAGUGUGAGCUCAUUCCUCAGAGCUUCCAUGUCUCAUUUCUCCACCAGUAAAUGCUGCUAUCUUUGUUUGUCUUUACAACUUCACACCGAAGAUACUAGGCAAAAAAUAAUUUUAGUAACAUAUUACCAAGACAGGCGGUGCAAGAGAUGGCAAGAGAACACCUCCUUCCAGAACCACGUGCUCCAGCUCAAUACCAAGUGACUUCUGGACCUCAUCCGCCUCCAGUUUCCACAGAUACAAGCUGUGCACAGAGCGCCUGAGGUGCCAUUAAUCCUGAAUUAACCUCUCAUUUUUCAGUGCCUUAAAGCUUAGGAACUGUAAAAUUCAUGCUCUGAAUAUGACCACAUGCAAGUAAUAAGGAAAAAAAUCUCAUACUCAAAAAUUGCCAGUGGAACCAGCCCUAACAGAGAGGAACGUGCCCAGUUUUAGAGCUGUGGCUGAGGGUAAAAUGCUAUUUAGUGAGCAGGCAGUGAAUGACAGCAUUAAUACUGAUAAGGAAUAAAAGCCUGACAAGUGUAAUCCUGAUACCAGCGUUCCCUUUGAGGAUUACUCAGCAAUUAAACAUUUCUAACAGUGGUACAUUUCAAAAGGACAGUGCUGCAAAUCCCUGAGGAAAUCAGAAGCCAUUUACAGAUUAUCUUGGGUUUUAACUUUUCAGAGAGAAAAAAGGCCGUGCACACUGAGCUCUGUUAACAUCAAUGAGAUGAACAGCUUCUAAAAACACUUGGAACAAGCCAUUAUUUCUAGAGCGCAGCACACGAUUUCCUGCACAGCAGAACUGGUGUGCUAUGCUGCAGCACUAGCAGUGCAUCUUCCUGUGCUGCCCUGCCCCCCAAACUGACAGACCUCAGGAACAGAUGCCACUGAGUCAGUAGAGGGAACAAAACAGUUCGAGCCACAAGUUAAUCCUUGGGAGUGCUCACACAUGUUUGAAAAUUAACAUCUUGUCUGAAACCCUUCAUGUUUCAGGACCUCACUUCUGAAAGCAGAAAUGACAGAUACUCACUUCCCAUGCAUAUGACACACAGCACUUAAAAGAUCAGAGAUAAAGGUAAACAAAAAUACAUCGAUUACAAGUCUUGUAUCUUUAGUUAGAGCUCAAGGCUCAGUGUGACAUGGUGGUGUUGGAGAGGUUUAGGAGAUGCACACACCACAGGCUGCCCAUACUACCAAUACCAAGGACUGAUUUGAUUCCUGGAAGGACCCAGGCCCUCCCAGUAACUUCAUUUUGUGGAAAACAAACAGAAGAAAACAACAGAAAAACCUUCAGCACGUUUUUAAAGGCUUGUAACAGAUCUUGCAGAACGGGAUAAACAAAUCUUUUAAAAAGGAAAAAUGUCAUUUUACUAAUGCCCUCUGCAAAGAAUGACUACAUUAAUCUUGGCAAUCUUUACAAAUCCACCCCCAUGUUUUCAAAAGACAGACAGAGCAUUGAGAUUCGUUCAACAAAUGGCAGCAUGAGUCAGUGGGCCUAGGAACCACGGGUAGGAAGGAGUAGGUGACGUCCAUGGAGUCACAGAAGUUGUCAUAGAAGUCUUCAAAUGACUCAUGUCAUAACACAGGUCCAGAGUAGCUCAGACAUAAGUUGUAUGAUAUUUAUGCAUCUGUGCCUGCAAAGGCACCCACAAACACAGCCAUUAGGGCAGAUAUGUGCAUGGAAUCAACCUCUCUUAGCAGAUAGCUGAGCCACUAUGAAACCUUGUGCUGAAGGCGGCACCCCUCUCUAAAACAAGUCUAAUAAUCCCAUCCACAUCUCAUCAUAUGAAUUUCCAGAUAGAAGCAACUUCUCAUCUUCUCAGCUUAUGCAAAGUCUACCAUCUGAUGAGAGCAAGAGUGUUUGUUUUGUGUGGGGCAAUACCAAUUUCUCAGCUGAGCCAUUCAUUCUCCAAAACUCUUACCAC